GGGCGAGUGAUGGAAUUGGUAGACAUCUACGUUUGAGGGGCGUAGGUCAUUUUGGCGUGAGGGUUCAAGUCCCUCCUCGCCCA
rnacentral:tRNA from 1 species